GUUAAUAUUGUUUUUUUUCCUAAAAUCAUAAAAAAAAAGAUAACUGUAAAAAAAUAAUAGUAAUUAUCCUUUUUAAAAAUCUUAAACCAAAAAAUUGUUAAAAAAGAGUGUUUAAUGUUAAUUUUCUUUUAUUGGUUCUUAAAGUUUCUAAUUAUGAUCGCGACACAAGCCAAUUAUAUAAUUAAGAUUGUGACAUGUGUUAAUACUAAUUUUCUUUUUCUAUCAUAAAAAACUAUAAUUAUUCACAUAUUAACAUGAUUUUUUGAAAAAAAUAAUAGUAAUUUUCGUUUUUACAAAUCCUAUACCAAAAACGAUUUGUACAAAUAAUUUAUUUAAUACUAAUUUUCCUUUACUAAAAUCAUAAACCAAAAACAAUUUGUACAAAUAAUUUUCCUUUUCUAAAAUAAUAAAGAAAAGAUAACUGUAAAAAAAUGAUAGUAAUUAUCCUUUUUAAAAUUCUAAAGCCAAAAAUUUGUAAAAGAGUGUUUAGUGUUAAUUUUCUUUUAUUAAAAUCUGAUUUUUUGAAAAAAGUAAUAGAAAUUUUCGUUUUUACAAAUCCUAUACCAAACACGAUUUGUACAAAUAAUUUAUUUAAUACUAAUUUUCCUUUUCUAAAAUCAUAAAGAAAAGAUAACUGAAAAAAUAUUAAUAGUAAUUAUCCUUUUUAAAACUUUUAAACCAAAAAAUUGUAAAAGAGUGUUUAAUGUUAAUUUUCCUUUAUUCAAAUCCUAAUUAAAAAGAUCAUAAACCAAAAGGAACUACAAUUAUUCACAUCUAUAUAUAGGACUAAGCUCUCUCAUAUUUUGACACUUCUCAUAUUUGAUCAGUAAGCAUAAAGAAAAAUAUUAGGUGGGUUUUUUGGUCAUCGCAUGUUCUUUUCUUCUUAUAAACUGAUGUUAAUUUUUUUUUCAUUAUUGUCAUGCUGGGCACGUAAGUUAUUGCCACAAUAAUGCUUAGGAGUUUGUACAUACAAUAUAUAAUUAGUUAUGAUGUUGUACAUAAGUUAAUGUCAACGCCAAUUUACUACUUUAAUACGUUUAAUUAUGCUUAUGUGUGUUCGUUCUAUUUAUUAUUUUCUAACUGAAAUUGUAAUUCAAUUUGCUACCAGGAAUUAUCAAGAGACAAUGGCUUCAGAAAGUUAUCUAACACUAGAUCAGUUAAAUAAGAAAUGUCCUUACCGUCGUACUGAGUACGUCUUACUAGAAAGUGGGAAGCAAGAAAUUUAAAUAAGAAUAACGAGCUUAUAGGAAUAAAUUUUCUCAUACUUGAUAAGAUGGUAAAUAUUUUAAUUUAAAAAAUCUUAUAUAGUUUUAUUGUUAAAAAUAAUUUGUUUAUUAUAUAGGAAAAUACAAUUCAAGGUUGUGUGCAUCCUUCUCUUAUUGAAAAGUUCGGAGAUGGAUUACAUGAAGGGGCCAUUAUUGAAAUCUGCAAAUUUAAUUUGCAAGAUUACAAUAAAAACUACAAAAUCUCAUAUCAUAAAUUUCAAAUAAGAUUGACCGAGAGAACAACAAUUGCAUGUGUGGAGCAAAAAUUACCUCAAACACCGCCUGAAAAAUUUCAAUUUCGAAACUAUGAAGAGUUUGCUCAACUGAAAGAUUCAACAUACGAUUUAUAUGGUAAUAUUUAGUAUUUUUUUUUGUCAGUUAAUCUUUAUCUUUCUCCUUUUGACUUCGCUUUAUAUAUUCAGGAUAGUUAAAUCUCUUGCAGUAUUGAAUGCAAAGAUUGAUAGGUUUAAAUAAUUAUUACAUCGACUGAAGUUGGAUCCUUUCGUAUAGAGUCUGCUUGACAUUGGUUGAUGCAUUUGUAUGUUUAGUAGGUCAUUGAUUGAUUGAUUACUAGGAACACGUAAUCUGUUUUUUUGUAGCAAUUUGGUUGUCAAACAUCAUAUGUUUCAGUCAAAUUAUUCGGUAUUUGUAAUGAAUUUUGCUUGAAAUAACAUUAUUAUAUAACACGAUUUUUUUUACAGAUGUAAUCGGAUGUAUAAAGAAUAUUGAGAAAACGGAUGUUCGUAGCAAGACCACACCUGUCCUCCGAAGAGUUAUUCAACUUUAUUGUUAGAAAGGUAUAUUUUUCAAUUCCAAUUCUAUUAAUCAAUUUCGAUUUUUAUUUUUUAUUUCUCUUUUACAAAAAUUCUAUCUUAUACAAUAGAAUUGAAAUACAAGCAACACUAUGGGCUGAACAAGCAGAACUAUUUGAAGAUAAAUAUCGCGCUUUGAAAAGUAAUAAUAUUGUUCUUAUCAUGACAAGUGUUUUGAUCAAGACAUAUCAAGGUGUAAUUUGUCUCUCAGCAUCUUCAGGGACUAAAUUCUAUUUGAAUUAUGAUUUUGAUUCUGUUACCGACUUUCGAAAAAGGUAUUAUUUAAAAGGUUCAAUUCAGGUUCGGAUAACCCAUUUAAAUAAUUUUUGAAAUUUCAAAAUUCAUUAUAUACUUUAAAUCCUCAAAAUCUAUAAAUACAGUAAUAUAUUACAUAUAAAUUUGAAUAACAUAUGUCAAAACACCUAAAAUUAACAUAUAAAUUGGUUUGGUUUGAAUAUUUUGAUAGAGAAUCAAUAGAAAUUUCAAAUAUAUUUUGGUGUUUUCAGUAUAUUUUAGCUAUCUUAGACAUUUAGUUUUAACUAUUUGUUUAUAUUUUCAAGUAUUUUACACACAUUAAAAGUAUCUUAUAUAUUUUGGAUGUUAUUAAUAUACAUUAAAUCUAAAAAUAAUUAAUAUAUUUAGGUAUAUAAAUCUAUAUAAUAUUUAUUCGGAUACCCGAAAUACUUCGUUUCAUUUCUCUAGAUACCAAAAUUUUGAACCCGUUCGAAUAUUUAAUCAAUUUCGAUUCAGGUUCGGUAUUAUUUUUUUGGAUCGGGUAUGGUUCAGUUUUUCGAAUUUUGUUUUUUUUGCCCAGCCCUAUUUUAAUCUCUGUUUCAUAGUAACAUACGAAGACGUUUUCAUUAAAUUAAUAUAAUAAAAACAUGUUAUAAAAAACUUUUAAAACCAUUCCAAAUUACUAUUAAUAUAGCCUUGCAUCAUUCCAAAAUACGAUUUGAGUUGAACUUGAACAUGAUUAUUCCAAAACAGACGAUAUAGUCUGAUCAUUAAAAGGUGAACUAUUUAUUAAAAAAACAAAAACAAAUUAUUAACUAUUGUAAAACACGAAAGACAAACAUCAAAAAUUAUGUAGAAAACAGAUUUAAAUUCAAAAUUGUGUCCAUAACAUAUACAUAUAUUCUAAAAUUGAUGUAAAAAAAAUUGUCAUUCUUUAUAUGUUUUCAUAAAUUUAAAAAUCAAACAAAACCCGUGCAACGUACGGGUCCAUACCUAGUAUAUAUAUAAAUGUAUAAAUGAAUAUACUUUUUCAAUACGUAACAGUUUCCUAAUUUUUUUUAAAAUCUCGAUUCUGAUUCUACGUAUCCGCUUCCGUUUCCAUGUAAUGGUAAUUUUUUUUAUAUUUUCUCUUCUUCUCCAUCGUUUCAUUAAUUAAUUUAUAUUCUCAGGUUCAUACAGAAGUGUUUUAUAGCGAUGGCUCUGUGCUCGAAUGCAACAAUAAGAGGGAAGUGCUUGAUAAACAUCUCAAGGUGACUGGAGGGAAGGUUUAUACCCGGUUCCCACCUGAACCUAAUGGUUAUCUACAUAUUGGGCAUGCAAAGGUAAGAUUGACACAAACUGUGCUCGUCAGUUACUCUGCAUGAAGGUGUACGUUUGCUACGACCUACUUUUUUUGGUCACUUCUAAUGUUUGUUGUUUCAGGCUAUGUUUGUCGAUUUUGGCCUUGCAAAGCGAGGGGGCGGCUGUUAUCUUAGGUAAGAAUACUUAUUUCCUUUUACGUCUCUGUAGCAAUCAUUUUUCUUCUGUAACAACAUAGUUCAUUAUUCUAUUCAACAUCUGAUUUUUCAGGUAUGAUGAUACAAAUCCGGAAGCAGAGAAGAAAGAGUACAUUAAUCACAUUGAAGAAAUUGUUAACUGGAUGGGUUGGGAACCCUUCAAGGUAUUCUUACUUUUAAGUACGACUAACCGUUUAUUAUUAUUAUUAUAUUGUGUGUGUUUAUGUUUAUAAUUCUUUCCAUUGUUUUCUUCUAGAUCACGUACACCAGUGAUUAUUUUCAAGAAUUGUAUGAUUUGGCAGUUGAGCUGAUUCGGAGAGGUCAUGCUUAUGUCGAUCAUCAGGUUGAAUAAGUUUAAACCUUCAAAUUUAUGGAUUCCUGUUGCUUUUUCCAGUCAACUGCCAUAUUUAGUUCUAAGCUGAACUGCAACUUACUCCCACAUCGAACUCAUUCUCGCUACAUUGUUGAUUUUCAUCUUUCAGAAUGCUAAAGAUAUAGAAGAGUACAGAAAGAUGAAAACGAAUAGUCCCUGGAGGGACAGGCUUAUUGAAGAAUCACUUAGACUUUUUGACGAAAUGAGACGAGGAAUGAUUGAGGAAGGGAAGGCAACACUGUGAAUGAAGCAGGACAUGCAGAAUGAUAAUUGCAAUACGUAUGACCUUAUUGCAUAUCGUAUAAAGGCAUGUGAAACAAACAUUAUCUCUGGUUGCAGAAGAAUGUGUUCUCCCCAUUCUUGGGGUAUACUAAUUUGUUUGUAUGCUUUUGCAGUUCACACCUCAUCCUCAUGCUGGUGACAAAUGGUGCAUCUAUCCGACCUACGAUUUUGCCCACUGCACUGUUGACUCUCUCGAGAAUAUAACACAUUCGCUCUGUACUCUUGAAUUCGAAACCCGGCGGGCUUCAUAUUACUGGUUACUACAUUCCCUUGAUCUCUACAUGCCGUAUGUAUGAGAAUAUUCACGGUUGAAUAUCACAAACACUGUAAUGUCCAAGCGUAAGUUGAAUUACAUUGUGACAAACAAGCAUGUUGAU